UCUCUGAUAGUAUAGUGGUUAGUAUCCCCGCCUGUCACGCGGGAGACCGGGGUUCGAUUCCCCGUCAGAGAA